AUGCCAAAUUUUUGGGGUCCUGGAACCAGUCCCUCACAAACACCAAAGAAUGACUCUAUACUCCAGUUUUUGCAAGUCCUGGAAUUCAUCAGAACUGGAAGGAAACAGUUCAACAGUUCCCAGAGAAUUUCUGGCCUACCCAUAUUCAGGAAGUUAUGUGAGUCUCAUGAGGAAUCCUGUUCUUGUAACAGUUAUGGUCCACUUUGUAAACUCUGAAGAGUUGAACUAGGGUCAGCAGCAACUCCUACUUAUUUGUUGCCCAGUAAGUGCCAGACACAGUGUUAAGCACUUUACACAUAUCAUGUUAUCAGUGUCUUCUUACAAUCCUAUUAAAUAGAUACUAUUAUCCCUAUUUUAUAAUGAGAACCCUACAGCUCAAUUAACUUACCUCAAG
ensembl:lncRNA